UGGGGAAUAUUGCACAAUGGAGGGAACUCUGAUGCAGCGACGCCGCGUGAGUGAUGAAGAUCUUCGGAUUGUAAAACUCUGUCCUUAGUGAAGAUAAUGACAGUAACUAAGAAGCAAGCCCUGGCUAAAUACGUGCCAGCAGCCGCGGUAAUACGUAUGGGGCAAGCGUUGUCCGGAAUUAUUGGGCGUAAAGGGUACGUAGGCGGUUUAAUAAGUCCUAAUUAAAAGGCUAUGGCUCAACCAUAGUAUGGUUAGGAAACUGUUGAACUUGAGUAGAUGAGGGGAAAGUGGAAUUCCAUGUGUAGCGGUGAAAUGCGUAGAUAUAUGGAGGAACACCAAUGGCGAAGGCAACUUUCUGGAAUCAAACUGACGCUGAGGUACGAAGGCGUGGGGAGCAAACAGG
rnacentral:rRNA from 1 species